GGCUGCGUGUUGAGCACAUAGCGAACUAUUCUUUCGCCUUUUACUAAAGAAUACUGUGUGCUCAUUGCUAUUCAAGCAGCAUAUGCCAUUUUUUGGAGGAGGGUGUUUUAUUUAUAAUAAAGCC